GAAAGUAUAGCUCAGUGGUAGAGCAUGUGCUUAGCAUGGAUGAGGUCCCGGGUUCAAUCCCCAGUACCUCCU
rnacentral:tRNA from 1 species